GGUCCUGCGGAGGUGCCCUCACUCCUUCCCGUCUCAUCCACAUCUCCGGGGGGAUAGGGGGCGCUCUAAAUACAGCUGCUCUCCCAGCACUGGCGCCCUCGCCCCAGGUUCCGCAGCAGGUCCCUGUGGGCGGGAGGAUACCUGCACAAACAAGCCUCCUCAUCCAGGCAGGACACCCCUGACAGCAAGGGGAUCAGUCUCAUGCCAGCAGUUACAGCGAGUGACCCAGCAAUAACCCGGUUACAGCACGGCGAGUGACCCAGCAAUAACCCGGUUACAGCACGGCGAGUGACCCAGCAAUAACCCGGUUACAGCACGGCGAGUGACCCAGUAAUAACCCGGUUACAGCACGGCGAGGGACCCAGUAAUAACCCGAGUUACAGCACGGCGAAUGACCCAGUAAUAACCCGAGUUACAGCACGGCGAGUGACCCAGUAAUAACCCGGUUACAGCACGGCGAGUGACCCAGCAAUAACUCGGGUUACAGCACGGCGAGUGACCCAGCAAUAACCCGGGUUACAGCACAGGCUGCUGAUGCCCCUGCUGACAAGAGUGGUGACCACAACAUGUUUACGGUCCACAGGAAGAUGGCAUGACCACUCCAUGCGUACAGCACUUUCAUGAGGAAAUAUAUCAUACCAAUCAAGAAAAAUUACUUUGCAUUACUACUAGACGCAGAGUCUGUUUUUUAUUACUGUGUCAGAGAUCCGAAGGGAAACCACAUUUAAAAAAACACUGCCGUAAUCUCUUUCACAUCUACUUUCAAAUAAAUCACAGAUUCCA